rnacentral:lncRNA from 1 species
AGGGAUUGGAGAAUAUAAUCCAAUGAUUUAUUAAUGAAUACAAUGGCUCUAUUUAUAGAGAAAAAGACGAGUAAUUAACUGACUAAUUUGUUGAUUAAUAGGCUAAUCACUAACUAAUUAACAAAUAAACAUGAGCUGAAAUAUUCUGGAAUUAACUGGAAUGUAUUUCUAACACGCCCCCUCAAGAUGACUAUGGAGAUCAACAAUAGUUCAUCUUGAAGAUUAAAGAAUUUUGGCUCUGCUUCAUUUUGAGAUGAUGCCUCCAUUUCUCAAUUCCAGCCAUAUGUCACCAGAUCUGAUGAAGAAACAAGAAAUAGUAGAGGCUUUGACCAUCCAUAAAGAUCUCUGAAAGUUCAUAGAACCAAAAUAUGAAAGAGGAGAAAUUUUAUUGCAAAGAAUCAAGGACGAAUUUUGAUGUUGCUGCCACCAUUUUCUGCAGACAGGAACUCAACCUUUGCCUAGAAUAACACUUUCCAGAAUUAUGCUAAAAUAGAAGAAAUCAGAGAUCUGCUUUCGUUUGAGCAAAACACAAAAAAGGAGGAUGAAUUAAAUCUUAGAAACGAAAAAGCAGCAGGAAGAAAUCUCUGCUCUGAUACCAUGUUAGAAUUUAUUAAUUGAGAAAACACUCCAUAAUAGGAGAAAGACAAACCUCCAUGGGAGGGAUUGGAG